AUACUUACCUGGCAGGAGACAGAUACCAUGAUCACAAAGGUGGUACUCCCAGGGCGAGGUGUAGUCAUUGCACUCUGAAUGUGCUGAUCCCUGAAAUCUCUCCAAAUGUGGGAAACUUGACUGCAUAAUUUGUGGUAGUAGGGAACUGUGUUCACACUUUCUCCUG
rnacentral:snRNA from 1 species